rnacentral:rRNA from 1 species
CCCUUAGAUGUCCUGGGCCGCACGCGCGCUACACUGAGUGUCUGAGAUACGAGUCUGCCUGGUCCGGCAAGGUCUAGGUAAUCGCUAAAAGACACAUCAUGCUUGGGAUAGAUUAUUGCAAAUAUUAAUCUUGAACGAGGAAUUCCUAGUAAGCGCAAGUCAACAGCUUGCGUUGAUUACGUCCCUGCCCUUUGUACACACAGCCCGUCGCUACUACUGAUUGGAUGUUUAAGCGAGGUUCUCGAACUGCUAGCGACUUAGCUUCGGUGAGGUCGCAGUGUGGGAAGUGAACCUAGCUUUGGUGUCUAGAGGAAGUAAAAGUCGUAACA